GAUGAGCGCUGGCGGCGUGCCUAAUACAUGCAAGUCGAGCGAACUGAUUAGAAGCUUGCUUCUAUGACGUUAGCGGCGGACGGGUGAGUAACACGUGGGUAACCUGCCUGUAAGACUGGGAUAACUUCGGGAAACCGAAGCUAAUACCGGAUAGGAUCUUCUCCUUCAUGGGAGAUGAUUGAAAGAUGGUUUCGGCUAUCACUUACAGAUGGGCCCGCGGUGCAUUAGCUAGUUGGUGAGGUAACGGCUCACCAAGGCAACGAUGCAUAGCCGACCUGAGAGGGUGAUCGGCCACACUGGGACUGAGACACGGCCCAGACUCCUACGGGAGGCAGCAGUAGGGAAUCUUCCGCAAUGGACGAAAGUCUGACGGAGCAACGCCGCGUGAGUGAUGAAGGCUUUCGGGUCGUAAAACUCUGUUGUUAGGGAAGAACAAGUACAAGAGUAACUGCUUGUACCUUGACGGUACCUAACCAGAAAGCCACGGCUAACUACGUGCCAGCAGCCGCGGUAACAC
rnacentral:rRNA from 1 species